AUGCAAGUCGAAGAAGGAUUGGUCGUGCUGCCGGCUGGCGUCAAGUUCGAUCCCACGGAUCAGGAGCUGAUCGAGCACCUUGAGGGCAAAGUGACUGCUGACAGCGCGAGAUCUCACCCUCUCAUCGAUUUGUUCAUACCAACCAUCGAGAGCGAGCACGACAUAUGCUACACCCAUCCUGAGAAACUUCCAGGUAUCACACUGAGUGGCCUAAGCAAGCAUUUCUUCCAGCGCAAUUCCAGGGCGUUCAAAAGGGGCACAUGGACACGUCGCAAGAUACAGUCGGAGUGCGGCAUGCACGCGAUGUGGCACAACACCGGCAAUACCUUGCCGAGGAUCAACUGGGUGAUGCACCAGUACCACCUUGGGGACCUGGAGCAAGAGAAGGAGCGGGAGCUGGUCCUCUGCCAGAUUUUCUACCAGACGAACACUAGGGCCAGGAGUAAAAAGAUUAUAAGUCGAGCAAGUUUCAACUGGGUUGUAGACUUCCCAAGCUUGGUUUUGUUUUUAACAGGCCUAGCCCAUGAUUACAACAGGGCACAAUGA
rnacentral:rRNA from 1 species